GGUGGGUGCGAGAACGACUUCUCCAUUACGGAUGGUGAGUGAGUAAUUAGUCUUGAUCUUGCUGUAAAACCUAACAGUGGGUUUAUUGUCGGUGUACUUGGGGGUUUGGUGGGUGGUCUGGUGAGAGACAUGGUGAACUAUGGCUGCAGGUUGCGGUGGUGGUGGUGAUGGUUGGUGAUGGGAGGUAACAUGGUGGGAAGGUUGUGGUGGUGGUGGUGAUGGUUGGUGGUGGGCGGGAGCAUGGUGUUGCGGUGGUGGUGGUGAUGGCUGGUGGUGGGUGGGAAGAUGGUGGGCAGGUUGCGGUGGUGGUGGAGUUGGUUGGUAGGCAUUGUGGUGGUGUCGAGGAUCCAUUUUUUUCUAGAUUUAAUUGGGGUGUGUGUUGGAAGUUAAAUAAGAAAAGAGAUGAGGAGGGUAGUUAGAA
rnacentral:lncRNA from 1 species